rnacentral:rRNA from 1 species
GCUGGCGGCACGCUUAACACAUGCAAGUCGAACGGGAUCUUCGGAUCUAGUGGCAGACGGGUGAGUAACGCGUGGGAACCUGCCCAGUAGUAGAGAAUAACUUGAGGAAACUUAAGCUAAUACUUUAUACACCCUCCGGGGAAAAGCUUUAUGCGCUAUUGGAUGGGCCCGCGUUAGAUUAGUUUGUUGGUGAGGUAAUGGCUCACCAAGACUACGAUCUAUAGCUGGUCUGAGAGGAUGAUCAGCCACACUGGGACUGAGACACGGCCCAGACUCCUACGGGAGGCAGCAGUGGGGAAUAUUGGACAAUGGGGGCAACCCUGAUCCAGCGAUGCCGCGUGAGUGAUGAAGGCCUUCGGGUUGUAAAACUCUUUUGUCAGGGAAGAUAAUGACGGUACCUGAAGAAAAAGAUCCGGCUAACUCCGUGCCAGCAGCCGCGGUAAUACGGAGGGAUCUAGCGUUAUUCGGAAUUACUGGGCGUAAAGCGAGCGUAGGCGGAUUUGUAAGUUGGAGGUGAAAUCCCAGAGCUUAACUCUGGAACUGCCUUCAAAACUACAUUUCUUGAGUUUGGUAGAGGAGAGUGGAAUUCCUAGUGUAGAGGUGAAAUUCGUAGAUAUUAGGAGGAACACCAGUGGCGAAGGCGACUCUCUGGGCCAACACUGACGCUGAGGUUCGAAAGCAUGGGUAGCGAACAGGAUUAGAUACCCUGGUAGUCCAUGCAGUAAACGAUGAGUGCUAGAUGUUGGGAAUUUAAAUUUCCAGUAUCGCAGUUAACGCGUUAAGCACUCCGCCU